UGAGUCCAGCUGGCACAUAGUGCAACUUGGGGCAGGGAGGGGAAGGUUUUGCUGCCUGACACCUGGUGUCCCAUAGGGAAUGAGUAAAUGGCACGAAGGCUGGUUCUUCCAACAGCUUCUUUUUAGCUGUAAUUGUGAUAUUGUUGGCCAGCCGAGCACAUGCAUUGUUUGAAAGAACAAUAAAGGGCUUCUAAGGAAGAGCUCAGCCCAGCUGAGCCCAUCCUGAGCUGUGAGAAAGGCUUCUCCAGACCUUAAUCCUGAGCCGCUGCAAGCUGGGGCAUGAAAAAUUCCAAUAAAUUGCUCAAUUACGAUUCUUAAUCCAAGCCUGGAUUAGGCUGCAAUUAUAAGUGAUCAGUUUGACUCAGAAAUAAGCCCUUUAAUAACUGCCUUCACAGCUGCAAGAGGGCUCAUAAAUUGCUUCUGCUGCCACGAGCCUGGGAAGAGCACGAUGUGAAAUCUCUCUAAAACCAGGGUAACUUCCUCGGUUUGGGGAAAUUUCCAAUAGGUUGUCUUGUGUCGGAGCAGGCUUGCAAAGGUGGGAUGACAAGGUGGAUGGCUGAUGGCCUUUCCAAAAAAUGCUGUGUUUCUAGCUUGGUGGAUUGCAUGCAGACCACCCCCUACUCUUGCACACAGGGCAGGUUAUUUAUCCAUCGGGGUGGGUCAGACGAGGAAGUCUCUGAUCCUUUCCCAGAGGUCAUCUACACGUGAAUGAGCUCUUUGUUUGUUAAACUUGCUUUUUUGAGUAAUCUCCUCCAGCCAUUUCUCAAGGGAUGGUUGGACUCUUCAACCCCUGAAGGCUUGGUUUGCCCUAGAGAAGGAAAAUUGGGUGGGAAUGAUUGCAACCUGUUUUAAUUAGGGCUCGUGUUUCCUUCUUGGUAGACCUCCAGGCAGAAACAGGUUUCCUGUGGUUCAUUCCUGGUGCUGCAAAUCCCAUUUCAGAGGCAGAAGCCGGGGGGGUUAAAUCUCUACCAUUCCCUCUCCUGUGCAUCCUCGGACCUAGCACCAUCCCUCUUUCUGUAGGCUCAAAGAAAAGGAGCAGAUUUUGCUCAAGUGGAAGCCCAGUAGGAUUCCCCACCAAGGCAGGCAGGAGAUGUCUCUGUCUGCCUGCAGAGACAAAUUCUGGAGGCUCUCCUUCCAGAGUGAGGUUUUUACAGCACUGAUCCAAGCGGAUGAGAAGAGAUGGGGCCGAGGCUGGCACUGGAGACCUCUGAGCUGUUGGCAGCUGAAGAAAUGCAAGACCUGGAGUUGGACCAGGUUUGUUUUAGGGAAACCAAUAAAAUGGAAAAGAAAAAGUAUCUAAAUACAUAUAUAUGAUAUUUAUUUAUAUAAUAAAUAUAUUUAUUAUUAUUAA